rnacentral:rRNA from 1 species
AGUGAACGCUGGCGGUAGGCCUAACACAUGCAAGUCGAACGGCAGCACAGUAAGAGCUUGCUCUUACGGGUGGCGAGUGGCGGACGGGUGAGGAAUACAUCGGAAUCUACUUUUUCGUGGGGGCUAACGUAGGGAAACUUACGCUAAUACCGCAUACGACCUACGGGUGACAGCAGGGGAUCUUCGGACCUUGCGCGAUUGAAUGAGCCGAUGUCGGAUUAGCUAGUUGGCGGGGUAAAGGCCCACCAAGGCGACGAUCCGUAGCUGGUCUGAGAGGAUGAUCAGCCACACUGGAACUGAGACACGGUCCAGACUCCUACGGGAGGCAGCAGUGGGGAAUAUUGGACAAUGGGCGCAAGCCUGAUCCAGCCAUACCGCGUGGGUGAAGAAGGCCUUCGGGUUGUAAAGCCCUUUUGUUGGGAAAGAAAAGCAGCAGGUUAAUACCCCGCUGUUCUGACGGUACCCAAAGAAUAAGCACCGGCUAACUUCGUG